GACGGAGGAUGCAAGUGUUAUCCGGAAUCACUGGGCGUAAAGCGUCUGUAGGUGGUUUCAAAAGUCCACUGUUAAAGAUUGAAGCUUAACUUCAAGAAUGCCGUGGAAACUUUGAAACUUGAGUAUGAUAGGGGUAGAGGGAAUUUCCAGUGGAGCGGUGAAAUGCGUAGAUAUUGGAAAGACCACCAAUGGCGAAGGCACUCUACUGGGCCAUUACUGACACUGAGAGACGAAAGCUAGGGGAGCAAAUGGG
rnacentral:rRNA from 1 species